AAUGGGCGCGAUGAGGAUAAAAAGCUCCCUCUUCUGAAUAUGAUUCGUUGAGGAUUCACUGCUGGCAGAAUCGAACCUAAUUUACUCUAUUGCCACCACUGAGCGC